GAUGAACGCUGGCGGCGUGCCUCAAACAUGCAAGUCGAGCGAGGCUAUGAGUUACCGCAAGGUAAGGCAUAGCCUAGCGGCGAACGGGUGAGUAACACGUGGGUAACCUACCUGGAAGACAGGGAUAACGAUUCGAAAGGGUCGCUAAUACCUGAUAAUAUCCAUCUGCCGGAUGGCGGAGGGAAGAAAGGGGAAACCCGCUUUCAGAUGGGCCCGCGUCCCAUCAGCUAGUUGGUAAGGUAAAGGCUUACCAAGGCGACGACGGGUAGCCGGUCUGAGAGGAUGUACGGCCACACUGGGACUGAGAUACGGCCCAGACUCCUACGGGAGGCAGCAGUUGGGAAUCUUAGGCAAUGGACGAAAGUCUGACCUAGCGACGCCGCGUGAGGGAAGAAGGCCUUCGGGUUGUAAACCUCUGUCAGUGGGGAAGAAGGAAGUGACGGUACCCAACGAGGAAGCCCCUGCUAACUACGUGCCAGCAGCCGCGGUAAAAGUCAACGUCG
rnacentral:rRNA from 1 species